rnacentral:rRNA from 1 species
GAUGAACGCUAGCGGCAGGCCUAACACAUGCAAGUCGAGGGGUAGAAUUAGCUUGCUAAUUUGAGACCGGCGCGCGGGUGCGUAACGCGUAUGCAAUCUGCCUUGUACUGAGGGAUAGCCCAGAGAAAUUUGGAUUAAUACCUCAUAGCAUUAUGAAAUCGCAUGGUUUUAUAAUUAAAGUUCCAACGGUACAAGAUGAGCAUGCGUCCCAUUAGUUAGUUGGUAAGGUAACGGCUUACCAAGACGAUGAUGGGUAGGGGUCCUGAGAGGGAGAUCCCCCACACUGGAACUGAGACACGGACCAGACUCCUACGGGAGGCAGCAGUGAGGAAUAUUGGUCAAUGGGCGCAAGCCUGAACCGGCCAUGCCGCGUGCAGGAUGACGGUCCUAUGGAUUGUAAACUGCUUUUAUACGGGAAGAAACACUCCUACGUGUAGGAACUUGACGGUACCGUAAGAAUAAGGAUCGGCUAACUCCGUGCCAGCAGCCGCCGUAAAAC